rnacentral:lncRNA from 1 species
UUCUGGUAUCCAAAGGGCCUUUACAAUACAUGACCUGAUGUGUGUCUUACCCAGGUGCAGCUUCUGGAAUGGAAAAGAAAUGGUGUUUAUUGUUCUCUGUGUUCCGGCACAGUACACACCCUUGCUCACUGGACCCCAUGAGAUUGUGGGGUGGGCACUGUUACCCGCCCACUUCCUAGACAAGAAAACAGGCCUGGAGAAGCCCCAGGAGCUGUGGAUUGGUCGUAGUUUGUAAUCCCAGUGAGGCUGAGAGUCACCAAGCUGACCCCAGUGAGGCCGAGAGUCACCAAGAUGACAUCUUUAUUGUCCUUGACGGAGGAGAAGAGGAGAAAGCUGGGGAGGGGGAGGUGCAUUGGUAAAGGUUCCCGAAGAAACGGAACCACUAGGUUCCUGCUGAGCCUUCUGUUCUCUCCGGGCCCACAGGGGAUUGGAACAGGCCCACCACCCACUCUGGGAGGGCCAUCUGCCUGACUCCGUCCGCUGCUUCACACGUCAGUCUCAUCCAGAAGCACCCAGAGUGAGGCUCACGGAAUGCCUGGGCCCUACGAGGCCUGCCGAGUGGACAGGUACUGUGCAGGUGCCUUUUCUGCCUUGAACACAUACAGCAUUGCCGUGGGUGCGUCCACCAGCGACCGUCCCUGCCCACAGCCCUGGUGCCAGAGGCCCUGGGUUCCAUCUGGAACAGCCCUACGGCCAUGCCUGCUCCGGGAAAGAUAGCCCACCAGAAAGCCCCCUGUGCAGAGGCUACCUGAGGACUUAUAGCCAGUACAACCCAGCAUCCAGCCGUGACCAGACAACCAGAAGCUCUCCCUGUCAUAGGACUGCAACUUGGAAACGAAGACUCACUGGUCAGCUGAGUUGAUAGAAGGUCAUGGCCUCAUCUGGGGCUGAAGCACAAGGGAGCAAAGGCCAGGACUGGAGGACGAGCCAGGUGUACAGACCAAGGCAGGGUCCUCUGUGAGGCCUAGAGACCCUCACGUGAGGGCUGGUGCUCUGAGCUGCUUCCUGACACUGUCCUCCAGCUUCAGCGCUGACCUGACCUUAAAGUGCCACAUUCCUGUGAUAAUGGGAGAGAAUCCCUGACAACCAGUGAGUGGCACUGUGAGCUGACACAUAGCCCAGCAUCAAGGGGACACAAAAUAAAAUGAAGGUCAGCUAGGCCAGGUGCUGGGGCAGGGCACCAGACCCUUGGAGGCCACUCAGAGGAUCUCCUUGGCCAGCCUGGAGGACAUGGACCUGCCUGCUGCUCAUCCUCCCCAAUGUGGAGCCGUCUUCAGCAGCCUGUCCUGUCUGCACCAUUGCUUCCUCUCUCCAGGGCCGAGGACAUCACUGACCAUCUAUUUGCCAGAGUAUUAGAAGGACAAGGACCAUCUUUGUCAGGGCUGUCUCCAGUACCAGGUGAGUCCAUGUAUUAUAAUUACUAGCAACAGAAAAUUCCAUGCUCAACCUCAAAUUCCCCUCUGUCUGCUACUUUUCAUGUAGAACCUCCCCUGGUGCCUUGCAUAGAGAUGGGCACAAUGUAAGCACUCGG